rnacentral:tRNA from 1 species
GCAGAGGUCGCCUAGCCUGGUAGGGCGCGGGCCUUGAGAGCCUGUGUGGUUCGCCAUUCGGGGGUUCAAAUCCCUCUCUCUGCG